rnacentral:lncRNA from 1 species
GUUGAUUGUUUCCUUUGUUGAUUGUUUCCUCCAUAUAAACAUUUAUAUUUUACCAUUUCAACAUAGAAUCAACAUAAAAAAUUACUAAUGAACUAUUUACACCUUGUUUUUUGUACUUUGAAUCCAGUACGUAAUUUAUAUUUAACAGCAUAUCUCAGUUUGGACUAGCUAUAUCUCAAUUGCUCAACAGUCACAUGUGGCUUGUCACUUCUCUUAGACAGCAUAGAAAUAAAGUAACGACAAGGAGUCCAGAAAUAGCAGCAACUCAUUUGACUGGAGAAAUCAAGGAAGGCUUAAUGGUCACAGAGGCACAUAUGCUUUACUGUCCACUGCUCUAAGACUUGAGUAGACAAGCUUGUGAAGCCCUGGUCUAAACCACACCAAAAAGUAGCUCAAGCAGAGCCCUGAAGAUCAACUGUCACAUCACAGCUAUCUGAAAGUUGCCUUUGAUUUUAUGCCAGUUUCUAAGCAGCUUUGGGGACCUAUCUGGUCCAGAUCCACCACCCUUAAAAGGGGAGAAAGAAGCAUCUCUCCUGUUGAAAUACCACACACAUCUCUCAGAAGAGUGAAUUCAUAUUUUUACUCUAUUAUCUCCUCUGCUCCUUUUCCCUUUUUUCUAAAACAAGAUUUGAUCCCCAACUUUAACCUCCUUCCUCAAGAUGAUUUCUCUUUACCUUCCAUAGAGAAGGAAUGUCUUCAAAACUAUUUUGUGAAAACCAGGACCCCACUCCAAGCUUCUGGUAAUAACUUCCUCAAAAAAGUGAAGACACAGAGUAAACAUGACAAUCAAACACACGGAAAAUAAGGAUCUCUCCUAAUUCAGUAAAAUCACAGCACUAACAUAAGAGCUUGAGAAAAUAUAAAAGUGAAUCCAUCAUUUUAUCUUUGAAAUGCUUUACUAUCUAUAUAUGUUUGUAAUUCCAAUGUCUUUCUAACAGUCCUGAUUGGAAAAUGAGGAUAUUUUUUUUUUGUUAUCUUUGAGUAAUCCCAGAAAAGCAUAAUAGCUCAUCAUUAUAGGGAAGAUCAUAACAAUGCCAGAAAGAACAAAAAAUCAAAUGCUUCUCUUUCCAUUACUUAAUACCAACUAGCUCAAUAAAUAUAUAUUUUUUAAAUGGUUAUUUCCCAGGUUUCUAUUUAAGUUAAUGCAGCAAUAUACCCAAUUUGUACUCCUAGUUAACUACUCUUAGUCCUUGGGGACUACAGUACUCAAUUAGUUAUAUGCUUUUAGUCAUUUGCCUCUUUGCAUCUUUCUUGAAAAUCCACAGUUGAUAAUCACAAGAUUCAAGCUGAGGUAAAAUAUUGUCAGUAUUUUUAAGCACCAUUUGGCCAAAAACACUGCGUGGAAACACAUACACACGUACACACACACACACACACACACACACACACGCUGAUGAGUCAUAGGCAGACUGUAGCAUGUUAUUUUGAGACUUCCCUGCCCACCAUAACACUGCCAUACAUCUGGCCCAUCUUCAAAAUGGUGAUUCGCUGGAGAAGUGUUCCUGCUACUCUCCAAGGCCAGGUGACACCAAUGCAAGAGUAAUAUAUAAUUUCCAGCCCCCUACUUUCAGAGUUUUCAUAGGGAACAUGAAAAAAAAAUUUUAAUAAAAGUCAAUGUAGAAAACAUGUGCUCUCAUAAUCUUAAAUAGGCUUUAAACUAUUUUUUCAAUGAAUUUAAUUGAUAUGGAAAUAUUAUGCAGUUAUUCAGAAAACUAUAGGUUUGAAGAUUUUAAUGCUAUAGAUUAAAGUUUUAGUGAAAGGGGCAGUGUGCUGAUAAUCAGGAAAAGACGUAAUAGAAUACUUUUUGUAGUAAAAAAUGUACAAUAAAGAUUUUCAGUUGUGCCAAAUGGUGAAGAGUUUGCUGUUAAUACAUUCAGCUGGUGCUCACACAAAAUUUGCUCUACAUAUUUUCAUAUCGAGUGUUAUCUGAAUCAGCAGAAAUAACACAUUUGUAGUUCCUCAGUGUUUCUAUACUAUUGAUCUAGAAAAUUUGCAUUUUGAGGACUUUUGUUUCCUUUCAAUAAAAUAAUUCUAGUUAUAGAAUGUAAAUAUAUGACAAAAUGUGAUUUGUAUUUUGAUGAGUUAAUCCUCUUAUUCACAUGCAUGAUUUUAUUCUGAAUUGUUAUUUAUAUAACCACGCCUUGCUUUUAAAGGUAUAUAUAUAAUUGAAAACACAAUUUUAAAACUGAUCACACAUAUAAAUGUAAGUGAAUGGUAACAUGGCCUAUAAUUUGUAAU